rnacentral:rRNA from 1 species
CAGCCGCACGGUAAUACAGAGGGUGCGAGCGUUAAUCGGAUUUACUGGGCGUAAAGCGUGCGUAGGCGGCUUCUUAAGUCGGAUGUGAAAUCCCUGAGCUUAACUUAGGAAUUGCAUUCGAUACUGGGAAGAUAGAGUAUGGGAGAGGAUGGUAGAAUUCCAGGUGUAGCGGUGAAAUGCGUAGAGAUCUGGAGGAAUACCGAUGGCGAAGGCAGCCAUCUGGCCUAAUACUGACGCUGAGGUACGAAAGCAUGGGGAGCAAACAGGAUUAGAUACCCGAGUAGUCCAUGUCUCUUAUACC